AAAAGCUCAAAUUUGAAAUCUGGCUCUUUUAGAGUCCGAAUUGUAAUUUAGAGAAGUGUUACCCGCGCUGAACCGUAUAUAAGUCCUUUGGAAUGAGGCGUCAUAGAGGGUGAGAAUCCCGUCUUUG
rnacentral:rRNA from 1 species